GAUGAACGCUGGCGGCGUGCUUAACACAUGCAAGUCGAACGAAGCAUUUAAGACAGAUUACUUCGGUUUGAAGUCUUUUAUGACUGAGUGGCGGACGGGUGAGUAACGCGUGGGUAACCUGCCUCAUACAGGGGGAUAGCAGCUGGAAACGGCUGGUAAUACCGCAUAAGCGCACAGUACAACAUGGUACAGUGUGAAAAAAUCCGGUGGGAUGAGAUGGACGCGCAUAUGAUUGGCUUGCUGGCGGGGUAACGGCCAACCAAGGCGACGAGGGGGAGCCGACCGGGGAGCGGGCCCGGCUGGAUUUGAACUGAGGCACAGCCCAGACCCCUAGGGAAGGGAGCAGUAGAGAAUAUUGUGCGAUGGAGCAUACUCUGGUGCAGCCGCGCCGCGUGAGUGAAGAUGUAGUUCGUAAUGUAAAGCUCUAUCAGAAGAAGAGAUAGUGACGGUACCUGAAGAAGAAGCUCCGGCUAAAUACGUG
rnacentral:rRNA from 1 species